rnacentral:rRNA from 6 species
UGGCGGCACUAGCGCGGUGGUCCCACCUGACCCCAUGCCGAACUCAGAAGUGAAACGCCGUAGCGCCGAUGGUAGUGUGGGGUCUCCCCAUGCGAGAGUAGGGAACUGCCAG